rnacentral:rRNA from 1 species
GUGAACGUUACCAAACUGUUGCCUCGGCGGGAUCUCUGCCCCGGGUGCGACGCAGCCCCGGACCAAGGCGCCCGCCGGAGGACCAACCAAAACUCUUUUUGUAUACCCCCUCGCGGGUUUUUUAUAAUCUGAGCCUUCUCGGCGCCUCUCGUAGGCGUUUCGAAAAUGAAUCAAAACUUUCAACAACGGAUCUCUUGGUUCUGGCAUCGAUGAAGAACGCAGCGAAAUGCGAUAAGUAAUGUGAAUUGCAGAAUUCAGUGAAUCAUCGAAUCUUUGAACGCACAUUGCGCCCGCCAGUAUUCUGGCGGGCAUGCCUGUCCGAGCGUCAUUUCAACCCUCGAACCCCUCCGGGGGGUCGGCGUUGGGGAUCGGCCCUGCCUUUGGCGGUGGCCGUCUCCGAAAUACAGUGGCGGUCUCGCCGCAGCCUCUCCUGCGCAGUAGUUUGCACACUCGCAUCGGGAGCGCGGCGCGUCCACAGCCGUUAAACACCCAACUUCUGAAAUGUUGACCUCGGAUCAGGUAGGAAUACCCGCUGAACUUAAGCAUAUCAAUAAGCGGAGGAA